GCCUUCUCAGGCCACGAACAUGGACUGUACAAAACUAGAGGAUGGGAUGAGGUCCCAGGACCCAGCGUGUAAGUCACAGAAGCCGUCCCACGAAGUCCCUCUUCGAAAUUAUCCUUCCUUUUUCUUUGAAUAUCAAAAGAUAUAGUAAGUGACUGAUUGUAAAUCCCUUGAGAACUGAGUUUGACCUCUGCAACUUAUGAAUACACUUAUCAUACGCUGCAGGAUUCUAAGAUGACCUCCAGGAUCCCUACUUGCUGUACAAUCCUCAGGACUGUGAAGAUGAUGGAUUUUACUGCUGUGAUUAAGUUAUAUGGCACAUUCGACUUGAAGAAAGGGAGAUUAUUCUGGGAAUAUGUAGCAGUACAAAGUGCUAACGUCGUGUGGAUUUGAACCCCCAUCCUCGAGAGCAAAAGAAGGCUGGGGAUUGCCAAAUGUCAACUCAGCUGUGUCAGCCAUGGGACCCCAAGUCUCCAGCCAUGUCCAGUUCUCUGCAGACACUGAAUGCCUGUGCCAAGGCAAGCUGUCCACAACUGCUGCUGGAAGAGUGGUGCAGAGCCAACCGUUGGAAAUAUUGGUCACCUCAGCCUACGUGUGGGCCCAGUUCAUGAUGCAGUUGGAGCAUGUUAACCUGUGGUUGAAAUGACAGAGCAGGCAUAGGUACUAACAGAGGUAAAUCACGUCUCUCAAGCAAAAUACAGGCUAACCUUUCAUCCCUGGAUAACAAUGCAGCCAACAAGGGAUUUUGCCCUGGAUGAUGGUACCACACCUUCUCAGCUCCCCAUGGUUCUUUUGAGUCCUGUAUCUGUGCCAAAGUCACAGGGGAACUCAUAAUAGGUCACACAAGCAAUACAUAUAUUCCCUGGAGGAGGGUGCCUUCCCUGGCCAUUCCCCUACAAACAGUCAACUGCAGGGGCCAUGUAUUGAAUACCCAAGGAGUGACAUGCAAGUCAUAGUGUAUGCCCUACCCCCAGGGAGCUACGAUGGCCAACCACUGGCAGUGGGGGGCUUGGAGGGUCCAUGGCCACAGCCAGGUUUUCUGUUCCCCUGCCUUCAAGGGCGUUGGGGCUGGUAACAACAGGUUACUGUUCAUCCCCAUACCUGGUUGGAGGAGGUCACCCUUGGUAUGUAUCUGCAACCGGAUGGGGAUGGUGGCCCAGUGUAACAAAGCCACCACCAGAAGUGGGCCAACUUUCUGUGGCUGUUAAUUCAAGGAUUGAAGUACCAGGUCCAGCCUGGAACUCCAGCCCCACAAAGACAGGGGUGUGACAUGCAAGCAUAACCCAUUCUUUAAGAGCCUCUUAUACCACUCAAUUAUAUGUGCAGCUUGCGGGUUAUAUAGUACAUGGAAUCCCCACUUUAUGUCCACUUGUUAUGCCCAUUUUUGUGCCUGUUGUCCAGUGAUAUGUGUUCUCUUAUCACUCUCAACAGCCAGAGGGCGAUCAUACAGGGCAUAUAAGUGUUGCAGGGCCUGGAUGGUGUUCUGUUAGUUGGCCACUCUGCAAGCAUAGGUGAACAACAGGCUCAUGACUGUGUCCACAGCUGUUAACACAUGCAUAUACCCUUGCAACUUCAGCAGCAGCCUAAUGUAAUCUACUUGCCACUUGGUCAAGGGCACUCACCCUAUUGUCGUUUGUUGUGUAAUAUUGGGCCCCUGCCUCCAUUUAGGGUGUGCCUGAGCAUAUGCCAGGCAUUUCUGACAAGCCUCUCAAAUGCCUUGCUUGGGCAGGAAUAGACCCCAAUGCUUAUUGACCCGUUAAAUCAGUUCACCCCCCGGCAUGUCCCAGUUUCCAGUGUAGCCACAAGGCCACAUCUCAUGUUGGUGCUGACUAACCAUCGGAUCUUAACCAAGGCAUCUGCUUCAUCAUUGCCGGGGGUAGUGAAAGGCAUAUGGCCUGAGACAUGAUAAAGAGUUACCUCUUUCUGAUGACCCAUUUCCCAAAGGUCUUGCCACAUGACUUGGCCCCAAAUGGGUCAGUGGCUGACUAACCCCUUUUGUAUUUUCCAGGUAGUUAACCAUAAGGUUAAGCCUUGAUAGACUGCCCAGCUACCGAUACAGAUAACUAUAGGUGUCACCUCCUUGGUGAUCACCAUCCAUACUACUCUAAGUUCAGCCCAUUGGCUACUUUGUCCAUACCUGGUUUCAAACCAUACGGUGUCAGUACUAGGUUGGACUGCAACAGCAGUCCAGGCAGCAGUAGCACCUUGGCUAGACCCAUCUGUGUACCAUGCCCCAUCGGGAAUAGGGGGACACCCUUAAACAGUGAAGGCUCAGGGUCUAGGGGCACCUCAGGCCCCAUGGCCUUAUCUUACAUUAGGACUACAGGUUCAGGUUUUAAGACCUCUUGCAACUCUGCUGCUAAGGGACUUGUACUCAGCGUUCUCCACUGCUCCAAGUAGGCACCCCACUUUGGCAAAGUGGCUGUCUGAGCCAUCCCAGUCCAGGAGGUCAUUACCCAUGAAUGUACCCAUCCUGCUUUUAGGUAAGUCAUCUGCAUGAUGACUGCAGCCCAUCCUGUCACACUCUUACAAGCCUGAAAGGUGGCAUACACAGCUGCUAGCUGUUUCUUUAUGAAGGAAUACCAGAGCUCAACUCCCUUCCAUAGUUAGGACUAAAAGCCUACUGGCGUUCUCAAGCACUCCACGUGCUGCCACAGGCCCCAGCUGAAGCCAUCUGUGGUCACAUGCAUACCAACUCAAACAGGCACCCCUGGUCAACUACCUGUAGGGCUUGUGCCUGCUGAAUAGCCCAUUUGGCUGCCAGGAAGGUGGUCUCAGCUGCAUCAUCCCAAUCCCAAGUAGGUCCCUUUUUUUAUUAACCAUGCAACAGUUUUAUCAUCUAAGCUAAAUGGGGCACAGAUGUCCAACAAUAUCCCACAACAAUGUCCCACAAAAGUUUACAGCUGCUUCACCGUGGUGGGCCAGGGAUAUGCCUGAAUCUUAUCAAUAAUAGCCUCUGGGAUGGCCUUUGUCUUACCCAACCAGAUAACUCCCAAGAAUCUGGCAGAUAAUCCAGGCCCUUGGACCUUGGAUUCAUUGACAGCCCAACCACAUGCUGCCAAAUGUUGCUGCAAGAGGGGCAUCACCGCUUCUAAAUCUGCAAGAGAAUCAGAGGUUAACCUAAUAUCAGUAAUAUAAUGCAAUAGGCAGACCCCUUCUGACAUUGUCAGGUGGCUAAAUCCAUGGCAACUAGACCAUGACAUAUGGUGAGGCUAUGCACAUAGCCCUGUGGCAACACUGUAAAAGUCCACUGUUGCCCUUUCCACAAGAAGGUGAACUGUUCUGGUUCUCUGGAGCGAUUUCUAUGGAGAAAAAUGCAUUGGCCAAGUCCACUACAUAGUGGUACUGUCCCAGUUCCAUCGUCAAAUGGUCCAUCAAAUCCAUGAUUGAUGGUACAGCUGCAUGCAAAGGGGGUGUUAAUUUAUUCAGUUCCUGAUAGUCCACCGCCAUCUGCCAAGUUCCAUCAGGCUUUCUAACUGGCCACACUGGAGAAUUGUAGGGGCUGUGGGUGCCACGCACUAUCUGCACCUCCUCCCGCAUCUUAAUUGUCUCAGUUAUCUCUGUAUGCCCACCCAGCAAAUGGUAUUGACGGGUGGAAGUAACCCACUGGGGUUGUGGUAGGACCUGAGGCUGGUGAUGCGUAUGUCCACGCAGAACUGGCUUCACCACAUGCACUCAGAGCCUGAAUUCCGCGGCCAUACUUUGUAACACCAGGCCAUGUAAAAUGUCCACCCCCAGAAUGUAUUCAGAUGUGGGAGAGAUACACACAGUAUGUAAACGGAGAGCCAAACGGCCAAUGCCAAGGUGCAGAGAUACAGGUUUCACUUUCACUGACCAGCCUCCAUAACCAUCAAUGUAAGCAGGUUUGCCCAGAGACUUAUUUGGGUUCCUAUAAACAAGGCUGCCAUCGGCGCCAGUAUCCAC